rnacentral:lncRNA from 1 species
CUGGGGCCUACUUAACAGUAUUUACUGGGACACGUGCAUGGAAAGAUGUGGAAGAUACAUUUUAGAUUUAGAUUGAAGGAGAGAAAGAGUCAUCGCCUAUAUUCCUAUCACUCACAUUCCAUCUAUCCACGUUCAUACAUAAAUCAUGGAGGAUACGCAGCUCCAGAGCCACCUUGCAUCAAAAUGGAGUCAGAUUAAAGGGUUCAUCACUGAUUGAUGUACAUCAAUGAUAUGCUGACGUCAAAGAAGACAAUAUAAGCUGAGUGUCAUGGACGCCUAUAAUCCCAGCGACUCGGGAGGCUGAGGCAGGAGUAUCCCUUGAGCCAAGGAGUU